CGGACGGGUGAGUAACGCGUGGGUAACCUGCCUCAUACAGGGGAAUAACAGUUAGAAAUGACUGCUAAUACCGCAUAAGACCACAGCACCGCAUGGUGCAGGGGUAAAAACUCCGGUGGUAUGAGAUGGACCCGCGUCUGAUUAGCUGGUUGGUGGGGUAACGGCCUACCAAGGCGACGAUCAGUAGCCGACCUGAGAGGGUGACCGGCCACAUUGGGACUGAGACACGGCCCAA
rnacentral:rRNA from 1 species